UACAGAGGUCCCAAGCGUUGUUCGGAUUUACUGGGCGUAAAGGGUGCGUAGGUGGCGAGGUAAGUUUGAUGUGAAAUCUCCGAGCUCAACUCGGAAAUGGCAUUGAAUACUAUCCCGCUUGAGGGUCGGAGGGGAGACUGGAAUUCUCGGUGUAGCAGUGAAAUGCGUAGAUAUCGAGAGGAACACCAGUGGCGAAGGCGGGUCUCUGGACAGUUCCUGACGCUGAGGCACGAAGGCCAGGGGAGCAAACGGG
rnacentral:rRNA from 1 species